GACCCCGUAGCUCAAUUGGAUAGAGCGCAUGGCUACGAACCAUGAGGUUCGGAGUUCAAGUCUCCGCGGGGUCGCCA
rnacentral:tRNA from 1 species